rnacentral:rRNA from 1 species
UAGAGUUUGAUCCUGGCUCACCGCUAACGCUGGCGGCAGGCUUAACACAUGCAAGUCGAGCGGGCGUAGCAAUACGUCAGCGGCAGACGGGUGAGUAACGCGUGGGAACGUACCUUUUGGUUCGGAANNNNNNNNNGAAACUUGGGCUAAUACCGGAUAAGCCCUUACGGGGAAAGAUUUAUCGCCGAAAGAUCGGCCCGCGUCUGAUUAGCUAGUUGGUGAGGUAACGGCUCACCAAGGCGACGAUCAGUAGCUGGUCUGAGAGGAUGAUCAGCCACAUUGGGACUGAGACACNNCCCAAACUCCUACGGGAGGCAGCAGUGGGGAAUAUUGGACAAUGGGCGCAAGCCUGAUCCAGCCAUGCCGCGUGAGUGAUGAAGGCCCUAGGGUUGUAAAGCUCUUUUGUGCGGGAAGAUAAUGACGGUACCGCAAGAAUAAGCCCCGGCUAACUUCGUGCCAGCAGCCGCGGUAAUACGAAGGGGGCUAGCGUUGCUCGGAAUCACUGGGCGUAAAGGGUGCGUAGGCGGGUCUUUAAGUCAGGGGUGAAAUCCUGGAGCUCAACUCCAGAACUGCCUUUGAUACUGANGAUCUUGAGUCCGGGAGAGGUGAGUGGAACUGCGAGUGUAGAGGUGAAAUUCGUAGAUAUUCGCAAGAACACCAGUGGCGAAGGCGGCUCACUGGCCCGGUACUGACGCUGAGGCACGAAAGCGUGGGGAGCAAACA